GAUGAACGCUGGCGGCGUGCCUAAUACAUGCAAGUCGAGCGAACAGACGAGGAGCUUGCUCCUCUGACGUUAGCGGCGGACGGGUGAGUAACACGUGGAUAACCUACCUAUAAGACUGGGAUAACUUCGGGAAACCGGAGCUAAUACCGGAUAAUAUAUUGAACCGCAUGGUUCAAUAGUGAAAGACGGUUUUGCUGUCACUUAUAGAUGGAUCCGCGCCGCAUUAGCUAGUUGGUAAGGUAACGGCUUACCAAGGCAACGAUGCGUAGCCGACCUGAGAGGGUGAUCGGCCACACUGGAACUUAGACACGGUCCAGACUCCUACGGGAGGCAGCAGUAGGGAAUCUUCCGCAAUGGGCGAAAGCCUGACGGAGCAACGCCGCGUGAGUGAUGAAGGUCUUCGGAUCGUAAAACUCGGUUAUUAGGGAAGAACAAAUGUGUAAGUAACUAUGCACGUCUUGACGGUACCUAAUCAGAAAGCCACGGCUAACUACGUG
rnacentral:rRNA from 1 species